rnacentral:misc_RNA from 1 species
GAUGAAGAACGCAGCGAAAUGCGAUAAGUAGUGUGAAUUGCAGAAUUCAGUGAAUCAUCGAAUCUUUGAACGCACAUUGCGCCCUUUGGUAUUCCUUAGGGCAUGCCUGUUCGAGCGUCAUUUAAACCUUCAAGCUCAGCUUGGUGUUGGGUGACUGUCCGCUUCACCGCGGACUCGCCUCAAAAUUAUUGGCGGCCGGUACAUUGGCUUCGAGCGCAGCAGAAACGCGAACUCGGGCCCGUCGUAUUGGCUCCCAGAAGCUAUCUUCACAAUUUUGACCUCGGAUCAGGUAGGGAUACCCGCUGAACUUAAGCAUAUCCAUAAGCGGAGGA